AGCUUGCUUCUCUUGAGAGCGGCGGACGGGUGAGUAAUGCCUAGGAAUCUGCCUGGUAGUGGGGGAUAACGUUCGGAAACGGACGCUAAUACCGCAUACGUCCUACGGGAGAAAGCAGGGGACCUUCGGGCCUUGCGCUAUCAGAUGAGCCUAGGUCGGAUUAGCUAGUUGGUGAGGUAAUGGCUCACCAAGGCGACGAUCCGUAACUGGUCUGAGAGGAUGAUCAGUCACACUGGAACUGAGACACGGUCCAGACUCCUACGGGAGGCAGCAGUGGGGAAUAUUGGACAAUGGGCGAAAGCCUGAUCCAGCCAUGCCGCGUGUGUGAAGAAGGUCUUCGGAUUGUAAAGCACUUUAAGUUGGGAGGAAGGGCAGUAAAUUAAUACUUUGCUGUUUUGACGUUACCGACAGAAUAAGCACCGGCUAACUCUGUGCCAGCAGCCGCGGUAAUACAGAGGGUGCAAGCGUUAAUCGGAAUUACUGGGCGUAAAGCGCGCGUAGGUGGUUUGUUAAGUUGGAUGUGAAAUCCCCGGGCUCAACCUGGGAACUGCAUUCAAAACUGACUGACUAGAGUAUGGUAGAGGGUGGUGGAAUUUCCUGUGUAGCGGUGAAAUGCGUAGAUAUAGGAAGGAACACCAGUGGCGAAGGCGACCACCUGGACUAAUACUGACACUGAGGUGCGAAAGCGUGGGGAGCAAACAGGAUUAGAUACCCUGGUAGUCCACGCCGUAAACGAUGUCAACUAGCCGUUGGAAGCCUUGAGCUUUUAGUGGCGCAGCUAACGCAUUAAGUUGACCGCCUGGGGAGUACGGCCGCAAGGUUAAAACUCAAAUGAAUUGACGGGGGCCCG
rnacentral:rRNA from 1 species